CUCCGUCCUCCUGUAAACUCCUGUGUCCUCUUGUGUCCUCCUCUGUCCUCUUGUGUCCUCCUCCGUCCUCUUGUGUCCUCCUGUGUCCUCGUCCGUCCUCCUCAGAUGAAACAUGGCCAUCCCCUGGCUCCUCGUGGUCAUGGCGGCCGCUGUCUUCGUGUCCAUGGUGCUGCUGGUCGCCGUGUGUCUGAACUGCAGGGACAAAGGACCGCUGGUGUCCAUCAGACAGACCAACGCCUCGGAGGAACCCAGCGGGUUCAGAGUCAUUCACCCGAGUAAGUAUGUUUAAAAUCACACGCCAAGACAAAACAGAUGAGACGGAAACAAAAAACAAACUAUAUAUU